UACGAAGGAUCCAAGCGUUAUCCGGAUUUAUUGGGUUUAAAGGGCGCGUAGGCGGCCAGCACAAGUCAGUUGUGAAAUCUCCGAGCUUAACUCGGAAAGGUCAACUGAUACUGUGCGGCUAGAGUGCGGAAGGGGCAACUGGAAUUCUUGGUGUAGCGGUGAAAUGCGUAGAUAUCAAGAGGAACACCUGCGGCGAAGGCGGGUUGCUGGGCCGACACUGACGCUGAUGCGCGAAAGCUAGGGGAGCGAACGGG
rnacentral:rRNA from 1 species